rnacentral:rRNA from 1 species
AUUGAACGCUGGCGGCAGGCCUAACACAUGCACGUCGAACGAGUGGCGGACGGGUGAGUAAUGACUGGGAAACUGCCCGAUGGAGGGGGAUAACUACUGGAAACGGUAGCUACUACCGCAUACCAUCGGAUGUGCCCAGAUGGGAUUAGCUAGUAGGUGGGGUAACGGCUCACCUAGGCGACGCUCACUAGCUGGUCUGAGAGUAUGACCAGCAACACUGGAACUGAGACACGGUCCAGACUCCGACGGGAGGCAGCAGUGGGGAAUAUUGCACAAUGGGCGCAAGCCUGAUGCAGCCAUGCCGCGUGUAUGAAGAAGGCCUUCGGGUUGUAAAGUACUGUCAGCGAGGAGGCGUUACUCGCAGAAGAAGCACCGGCUAACUCCGUGCCAGCCGCGGCGGUAAUAC